rnacentral:miRNA from 1 species
UUUCAUAUUGAUUUCAUCUCAU